rnacentral:misc_RNA from 1 species
GGCUUACGAUAUUCGUCACGUGUCCAAGGAUGAAAACUCUGCUGCUUCAAACGAUCCCAACCGAGUCAAGGCUCGUUGCAGGGUUAGGAGAGCUGUGAAGCCUAAAGUUAGCAAUAACAAGCAAAGUGGUGGAGCUGGGUUCGGCUCGGCGGGCGAGCCGGCACGAGAUGAUCUGACUCGGUCGACGAGUCACGAGUCGACGGUGAGUCACCAGUCGGAGUUAGCAAUGGUGGACGGCGAUAGCAAAGAGUCGGAGAGCAUGGUCUCCGUAGAAACGGCUGAGGCUUCGCUGCUUUUCCGAGCUGAGCCGGAGUCAGCCGCGAAGAGCAAUGAAGGAGU